rnacentral:snoRNA from 1 species
GGUGCACAUUGUUAGAGCUUGGAGUUGAGGCCACUGGCUGGCCGGUGGACUCCCAAGUAGUGUAGGUGGCAUGCGACACAACUGAUGAGGGGCUCUGGCUCAGUGAAUGCAGUUUGGUAGUAAACCUUUGCAACAAGU